ACCAAAAGAACCAAAACGCUAAGAACGACCCAUCUCUCUCGCGAUGCAACCCUAGCGCCGUCGACCUCUACCUCUACCGGCGCCGUCGACCUUUAUCUCAUUCGUCUUCUCUCUCUCACUCGCUCGCAGUCGUCCUAAGCGCCGUCGUCCUCUCUCUCACUCGUCAAAUCUAACUCCAAAUCGAAGCUUUCUCCAAAUCGAACCCCAAAUCGAACUCCAAAUCGAAGCUUUCUCCGGCCUCUACUCUCACGAACGGAACCUUGUCUUUCCCUCUCACAUCGAUUCAGGUUUGUGGAAUCUGGUUCCGUUUUUCCAUUUUGAGAAUCUUCGAUCACUUGACAAUUAUGUAUCCUGGUGGUUAUACUGCUGCAAUUACAAACUUAUCUCCAAGAGCUACAGAAUCUGAUGUACACAAUUUUUUUGGAUACUGUGGUGUAAUUGAGCGUGUCGACGUAAUAAGAUCCAGUGAUUAUGAGUCUAUUGCAUAUGUGACUUUUAAGGAUGCUUAUGCCCUGGACACUGCAUUAUUGCUGAAUGUAAGACUC